AGCACCAGACCUACUUAAAACAAGCUGAACCUUCCAGAAUCUAUAAUUACAAACAUCGCACCGAAAACAAUUUGAAGCAGUCGCAAUGAUUUCUUGGAUGUUCAAGAUUUGCUGGCCAAUCUCGCAGCCACCUUGUGACGAGCAACGUGAUGAAUCGCAUAGAAAACGCUGGGGUGCUUGUCUUAAAAUUUGAACAUUAAAUAUGCAAAAGAAAAUCAAGUUUUGGUUUUUACAUCCUGGUUUACGUGAAAAACGUAAAACUAUACCCAUGAAAAUUGGUUUGUUGGAAGUGUGUGCAAACAUUGAAUACAUAGAAAUAUCUACCCUGAUGGAACAUAAAGGCACUUUCAGACAUCUACUUACCUACAUAAUAUGUAUACGUACUAGGCCAUAGCGUUACUGUUCUGUUCACAAUAUCUUAUUGAAAAUGGAGACGUGCCCAGCACCAAGUUUUGCACUCCUCGAAGAUGACCAAUGUAUAGUGAAAGUGCUGAAAUUUUGUUGUCCAGACGUUGUGUUGGUAUUAUCACCAACAGGAUAUAAGUAUUUAGUAGCAGUGCGACCAAGAGUAGCAGAGCGAGAAACUAUAAUACCAGGAGACUAUGUUGUAAUACAAGCUACUGUAAAAGGAGCACGAUACCUCGCUGAAGUAAUUCGAGUAAUAGACGAUGAUCACGAAAUGUUUUAUAGAGCGCAUGAUAUAUGGCCGAAAGAAUAUGAUAUCGGGGGCUACGUUGAACAUCUAGCAGAGAGAAUACAAAAAGCUCAGAAGGAGGAAGAAAUGCUCCAAAAGUUGUCAAAAAAAGAAAGAAAGAAGUGUGGGAUACCUGUUGCUGCUCCUACUACUACUACUACUGUCAGUAGCACCUCGAAAAAAAAGAAGGAAAAACAGAAACCUUGUAAGCACACAAAAAAAUUUGACAAAAAGUGUCUCGCUGAUACACGUUUAUUUCCUGAUGACGGUAUUAUGUUGGAUUUAGAAGCGGAUGAAGACCAGUGGCAUAGAGAUGUCGCUAAUUGUGCCACCAAUACUGCAAAUGCCAAUAACAGUGCAAAAACCAUUGGUACAAGUACCAAUAGUACUACUAAAGGCAAUGCAGAUUGCUGUUGCAUUACUUGUUGUGAUAAGAUGAUGCCCACUAAAAAAGUUGAUAGAUAUCGUACUUAGUUGUGAUCGAAUGCCUCCAUUGUAUGGUAAAUGAACACCAUGAAAAACCUCCAAGAAAGACAUAUAGAAACAAAGAAUUAUAUAUAAAUAUAUUUGACGACUUAGAACAACUACAUUAUACGUAUACACCAGUGCUAUGAACAAGAUAAUAGAAAAAGUGUUGAAUAUAUUGGAUCCGGCGUUCCCAUCGGAAUUAGAAGGAAAGGAACCGUCUGUUUCGAUAAGUUCAACAGAUUCGGAAGAUACUGAAGAAGAAUUAGAAUUAGAAGAAGAAGAAGAAGAAGAAGAAGUAGUAAUAGUUGUACCUAAAUCGACAGCACUUAUCAAAUCUUAUUCAACGGAUUUUGCGCUUCCCGAGGUGGACCAAUGCAUAGUACGAGUUACAAAAGUCAUAAACAGAUACAAAGUCCGGAUAACUACAGAUAAUGUACAAAAGUAUUCUAUAUCAGUGCCUAAAAGAUUGUUAGAUUUGAUACACGUAAAGAACUACCUUUUGAUUCAACCCCCGGCAGAUGGAUCGGAAAACAUAGCCGAAAUAAUUAGAGUAAUAGACGGUGAUUAUAAACGUUUUUAUGAAGCUAAUAACGUUUGGCCAAUCCACUUUGACGAUCCCGACUUAGGUAUUCUGGGUCCACUGCCUCCCAAACAAAAGCAAAAAAGUAAGAAAAAAGAUAAGAAAAAAGAUUCGAAAUCCGACCUAAAAGCACCGAUUAUCGAGGCAACAGGCAAAAAACCUGCCAAAUCAAGGAAAAAGC